GCAAACUUGGUCAUUUAGAGGAAGUAAAAGUCGUAACAAGGUUUCCGUAGGUGAACCUGCGGAAGGAUCAUUACAAAUGCCAAAGGCCGAACUCGUGAGGCUUGCGGAUUACACCACCGAUCCAUCCGUCCCGGCCCUCGCGGGCAGGCGCGGGUGUGGUUACUGUGUCCACCCUUUGUGAAACUCAGAAACUUGCUUCGGCAGCGCCAUGUCGUGAUCAGGCAGAUCCGGCAAGGGUAAGGCUGCCAGAAGCCCCUUUAAAACUAGUCGAUGAAAUGUCAUGCAGUCUUAGAAACUAUUAUUUGAGAUAUCAAAUAUUUUCAAAACUUUCAGCAACGGAUCUCUUGGUUCCCGCAUCGAUGAAGAACGCAGC
rnacentral:misc_RNA from 1 species